rnacentral:rRNA from 1 species
GACGAACGCUGGCGGCGUGCUUAACACAUGCAAGUCGAACGGAAAGGCCCUGCUUUUGUGGGGUGCUCGAGUGGCGAACGGGUGAGUAACACGUGAGUAACCUGCCCUUGACUUUGGGAUAACUUCAGGAAACUGCGGCUAAUACCGGAUAGGAGCUCCUGCUGCAUGGUGGGGGUUGGAAAGUUUCGGCGGUUGGGGAUGGACUCGCGGCUUAUCAGCUUGUUGGUGGGGUAGUGGCUUACCAAGGCUUUGACGGGUAGCCGGCCUGAGAGGGUGACCGGCCACAUUGGGACUGAGAUACGGCCCAGACUCCUACGGGAGGCAGCAGUGGGGAAUAUUGCACAAUGGGCGGAAGCCUGAUGCAGCAACGCCGCGUGCGGGAUGACGGCCUUCGGGUUGUAAACCGCUUUCGCCUGUGACGAAGCGUGAGUGACGGUAAUGGGUGAAGAAGCACCGGCUAACUACGUG